rnacentral:rRNA from 1 species
GACAGAGGGUGCAAACGUUGCUCGGAAUUACUGGGCGUAAAGCGCGUGUAGGUGGAUUGGUGUGUCAGAUGUGAAAUCCCUGGGCUCAACCCAGGAACUGCACCUGAAACUACCAGUCUUGAGUGGUGGAGAGGGAAGUGGAAUUCCUGGUGUAGAGGUGAAAUUCGUAGAUAUCGGAAGGAACAUCAGUGGCGAAAGCGACUUCCUGGACCAAUACUGACGCUCAUGUGCGAAAGCGUGGGGAGCAAACAGG